UGGGGAAUUUUGGACAAUGGGCGCAAGCCUGAUCCAGCCAUGCCGCGUGCAGGAUGAAGGCCUUCGGGUUGUAAACUGCUUUUGUACGGAACGAAAAGUCUCUUUCUAAUAAAGAGGGAUCAUGACGGUACCGUAAGAAUAAGCACCGGCUAACUACGUGCCAGCAGCCGCGGUAAUACGUAGGGUGCAAGCGUUAAUCGGAAUUACUGGGCGUAAAGCGUGCGCAGGCGGUCUUGUAAGACAGUCGUGAAAGCCCCGGGCUUAACCUGGGACCUGCAUUUGUGACUGUAUAGCUAGAGUACGGUAGAGGAGGAUGGAAUUCCGCGUGUAGCAGUGAAAUGCGUAGAUAUGCGGAGGAACACCGAUGGCGAAGGCAAUCCCCUGGACCUGUACUGACGCUCAUGCACGAAAGCGUGGGGAGCAAACA
rnacentral:rRNA from 1 species